UCCCAUCCCAAGACUGAAGCCCAGAGAGAGAGAGAAAGUACCAGAGGCAGUUCCUGCUUAUCCUGGAGUAUCCUGGGGUUUCAACUUCCUGCUACUUUUCUGAAUUGUUCAAACAAGCCAAUCACUUCCUCCUAUGAACCAACAGACACCUCACCCUCUUGAUAUUACAAAGCCUGCCUCCCGCAGCCCCUGGUUGUCCACUCUGUUCCUGAAUACAACCCUACUUGGUCUACGAUGUCGCCCCCACUCCCCGGGCAGUGAGUAUAUCUGACUAAUAAAUUGCUGUUAAUCUAACCUUUCCGUUGUUGGUAGUAGCAUCUUCAGC
rnacentral:lncRNA from 1 species